rnacentral:rRNA from 1 species
AACGAAUGUUAGCGGCGCGCCUAACACAUGCAAGUCGAGCGAGAAAGGGAGCAAUUCCCGGUAAAGCGGCGCACGGGUGAGUAACACGUAGGUAAUCUGCCUCCGCGUGGGGGAUAACCUUCCGAAAGGAGGGCUAAUACCGCCUGAGACCACGGUUUCGAGAGGGACUGAGGUCAAAGCCGGCCUCUAUACAUAAGCUGGCGCUUGGAGCUGAGCCUGCGGCCCAUCAGCUAGUUGGUAGGGUAAUGGCCUACCAAGGCGAAGCCGGGUAGCUGGUCUGAGAGGAUGAUCAGCCACACUGGAACUGAGACACGGUCCAGACUCCUACGGGAGGCAGCAGUGGGGAAUCUUGCGCAAUGGGCGAAAGCCUGACGCAGCGACGCCGCGUGAGUGAUGAAGGCCUUCGGGUUGUAAAGCUCUGUGGAGGGGGAAGAAUAAGGCAUGGCUAACAUCCAUGUCGAUGACGGUACCCCUUUAGCAAGCACCGGCUAACUCUGUGCCAGCAGCCGCAGUAAAAC